AUCAUGAUUACAAGCUCAUUGCAUUCAAGUUUGAAAAUGGGAGGACAUUCAUGUGCAAUUUUUUACCUUCAAAACUCAUAUUUACGAUUAUUCCAAGAGCACGUUAAGACAGCAUUAGCAGCACAGAUAAAUUACAUCUUUAUUGUGUCUGUUACCCUUUUGUGCUAAAUAUUUCUGCAAUACAUUUACGCUGCAGAUUACGGACACUGAAGACUAUAAGCAGAAAGUUCAAUUCUGGGUGGCCAGAAGUUAUAUUUCAGUGACCUGGUUACCUUCUCUCUCUGCAAACCCAAAGGAUCACUUUCCUCAGCGGAUCUGCCCCAAUCAUAAUUAACGGGACCACAGUGGAGAGAGUGAGCAUCUUCAAUACCUUCAAAUGCCCUGCAAAGAGUAGCUGAGCACAUGUCCAGAACAUCUCUCCCCUCUCUGCAAGACAUCCAAACCAGGAGAUGUAAAUCUAGGGCUGUUAAGAUCCUUAAAGACCCCA